GCCGCCAUAGCUCAGUCGAUUAGAGCGUGGGUCUAAUAAGCCCAAGGUCGCAGGUUCGACCCCUGCUGGCGGCA
rnacentral:tRNA from 1 species